AAACAAACUCAAAGUACAACGUGGGAUGGGCGGAGCGGGGAGCAGAGCUGGCUCUCGGCAGGAUGGACGCACCAGCAAUCUUCACGGAGGCGGAUUUUUACCAGCAGAAUUUCGACCCUCAGGCAUAUCUGAAAGAAUAUUACAGCAUGAGUGACAGCCGGGAAGGGGCAAAUGUGUUUCUGACGCAAAACUUGAAGAGCCUGCACAAAAUGUUCUCCUUAGAUGAGCUGAGAGGUGGCACCCUGAUAGAUGUCGGCUGUGGCCCCACCAUCUACCAGCUUCUGUCUGCUUGUGAGCGCUUCCAGGAGAUUAUAGCCCUGGACUACACCGACCAGAACCGCCGGGAGCUGGAGAGGUGGCUGAGGAACGAAGCAGGAGCCUUUGACUGGGUGCCAGUGGUGAAAUACGUCUGUGAGCUGGAAGGGGACAGGGAGAAGUGGGCUGAGAAACAGGAGAAAGUGAGGAAGAAGGUGAAGCAGGUUCUGAAGUGUGACGUGACCAGAGCCAACCCCACGGGCGCUGUGUCCCUGCCACCAGCCGACUGCAUUGUCUCCACCCUGUGCCUGGAGGGCGCCUGCAAGGACCUGCCCACCUUCCACAGCGCCCUGAGGAACAUCGGGACCCUCGUGAAGCCGGGGGGGCACCUGGUGCUGGUGACCGUCCUCGGGGAAACCUACUAUGCCUUCAACAAGCAGGUUUUCUCGUGCCUCCGCCUGGAGAAACACGAGGUGGAGGCGGCUGUGGAGGCUGCUGGCUUUGAGGUGACGUUCAGCGAGGCGCAGCCGUACACGGCCUGAGCCCGGCAGGACCUGCACGUGGAACGAGCCCUGAUGGCACACGAGCGUCACACGCUCCCAGCCGAGCCUGAGGGGAGCCGGGGAGGGGAAAGAAGGCACAGCAAGGCAAACGAGGCUCCAGGGAAAUUAAGGCAAAGUGGAAGUCCUGGCAAAGCGAGGUGCGGUGGCGAGUAAUGGGGUGGAGAGAAUGAACGGCACCCAAUUAACAGGGAAAGCAGAGCUGUGCUGGGACCUAAUGAGAAAUGAAGGCUCAACUGCCCCCUCUCGAAAUUCCUCCAGAUGGAAAACACCCGUUUUACAUCCCGUGUCUUCUGGGAUUCCCAGGGGAUUACAGUGGCUGGGGAGAUUCAACGGCAGGGGCAGGGGAACCGCUUUCCAAAGUCCUUGGAGAAGUGAAGUCGCAGGGAAGGGCGCUCUGACGGGAUCCAGCCACGGGAGCAGCUGGGCUCGGAGGGAGAGAGGGGUCGGGAGCCCCAGGAGGGGACACCCAGUGUAUCACCGCAGCCCUCCCGGGAUUCAGGGCCUCGGCGGUUUCCCGGUCUCCAAACAGCCCGUUUGGGGGUUUUUAACCUGCGCCCCGGGUUUUAACCGGCUGGCUCCG